AAACUAACACAAACUGUAGCUGUCCACAUAGGCCGAGUUGAACUCUAGUCUUCAUAACAAAUAAAUCCAAUCUUCAGACGAAACUGCAAUUUCCAUCCCACUCUCAAUCAAGCGAGAAUGUCACACCUCCAAAGCUCUUCCAAAAGCAGGUCCACCGAACGAGUGCUGAUUGCAGUGCAAUGUUGGAGAUUUAAACCUAAAAGGGUGCGGCCCACUUUCUUAAGAGCAGGCAAGCACUUGUCUGACACCAAAGAGCAACCAGACACGGAAAGGACUUGCAAACUCAGUUGACUAGAACGAGCCAAUGCCAUCAAUCCAAAAUCCGAAAUUGCACAUUUCGAGACAUCGAGAUCAGAUAGCAGUUGGCAAUUUUCUGC
rnacentral:lncRNA from 1 species